AGUGUGGGCAGGCAUCAGUCAGCCUGCUGACAGCCUGAACCCAACUUAAAGGGGGAAGAAGCGGGGGUUCUCUUUUCUCGGAUAGAGCGGGGACGUCCGUCUUUUCCUGCUGUCCUACACUGGUGCUCCUGGUUCUUGGGCCUUUGGACUGAGACUGAACCACACCCCCAGCUUUCCUGGUCUCCAGAUUGCAGACGGCAGAUCGUGGGACUUCUCAGCCUCCACCGUGUGAGGCACUUCCCAGAAUAAACCUCCUCUUCUCUAUUUAUAAUCUAUCCUAUUCAUUCUGUUCCUCUGGAGCACCCUGGCUGAAACACUGGAUGACCACCGCAGCUCCUGUGUGGCCCGCCCAGUGGCCAGAAGGUGACACAGUUUCACCGUGGGGUGUGAUGUGGCAUCUGAGAGGCUGCCUCGGUGGCUGCUCCUCAAAGCUGAAGAAGCGAGCAGAGGGUCGGUCUCUCCUCAUCUUUGCCCCGCGGAACGAGAUAAGGGAUGGGCCGGCUAGCUGGCGGAGGGCGUGUCCUCACUUGAAGUCUUGAGACUUCAGAAACAAAACUGAAGAUACGUUUUAACACUGAAGGUUGUUGGUGCUUGUGGGAGUUUAAAGAGCAGGAAGGGAAUUUUCCUCCGUCUCUGUUGUCCUUGUUUAUUUUUGGUGCAGGCAGUGUAACAAUUUGCCAAUACCUGAUAUGGACGUUUCAGAAGAUUGUGGGUUGAGGGGUUUUCAAUACUUGUUUGAAAUUGUUGAAAUUGUCUGAAUUGUUACGAUAAUUGUAUGGAAGCAUUAUGCUCAGAGGAAGGUGGGGAGCUGCUGUGUUUUCGAGGGCAGGGCAGGGCAGGAAGAAACAGGCUGCAAGUACAGCAAGCAAAGGGUGAGGCGGGUGGACAGUUGCGGAGUCUCGGGUGGGGGCUGAAAGCCAGGCCCCCUCCUCACCUUUCUGAGUGGGGCUGGCUGAACCACAGGGCCACAACCAUGGGCUUCCUGAAGGCCUGCCUUUCUUGAGGGUGUGAUUUUAUGAAUUGAAAAUUAUUUCAAUUAUUCAGCUAGCCAUUCAUUUACUGCUUUUAAAUUUGUGAACUUUGGAGCUGAGAUAAUAAAACCUAAGACUGAACCUUCA
ensembl:lncRNA novel transcript